rnacentral:rRNA from 1 species
ACUGCUCAGUAACACGUGGACAACCUGCCCUUAGGUUGGGUAUAAACCCGGGAAACUGGGUAUAAUACCCGAUAGGUCUCGAUUGCUGGAAUGCAUCGAGAUUUAAAGCUCCGGCGCCUAAGGAUGGGUCUGCGGCCUAUCAGGUAGUAGUGGGUGUAGCGUACCUACUAGCCUACGACGGGUACGGGUUGUGAGAGCAAGAGCCCGGAGAUGGAUUCUGAGACACGAAUCCAGGCCCUACGGGGUGCAGCAGGCGCGAAAACUUUACAAUGCUGGCAACAGCGAUAAGGGAACCUCGAGUGCCAGGUUACAAAUCUGGCUGUCGAGAUGCCUAAAAAGCAUUUCAUAGCAAGGGCCGGGCAAGACCGGUGCCAGCCGCCGCGGUAACACCGGCGGCUCGAGUGGUAACCGUUAUUAUUGGGUCUAAAGGGUCUGUAGCCGGCCGGAUAAGUCUCUUGAGAAAUCUGGCAGCUUAACUGUCAGGCUUUCAGGAGAUACUGUCUGGCUCGAGGCCGGGAGAGGUGAGAGGUACUUCAGGGGUAGGGGUGAAAUCUUGUAAUCCUUGAAGGACCACCAGUGGCGAAGGAGUCUCACCAGAACGGACCUGACGGCAAGGGACGAAAGCUAGGGGCACGAACCGGAUUAGAUACCCGGGUAGUCCUAGCCGUAAACAAUACUCGCUAGGUGUCGGCCACGGUGCGACCGUUGUCGGUGCCGUAGGGAAGCCGUGAAGCGAGCCACCUGGGAAGUACGGCCGCAAGGCUGAAACUUAAAGGAAUUGGCGGGGGAGCAC